rnacentral:rRNA from 1 species
AGCAGCCGCGGUAAUUCCAGCUCCAAUAGCGUAUAUUAAAGUUGUUGCAGUUAAAAAGCUCGUAGUUGAAUUUCGGGGUCAAUAUGUCGGUCGUGCCUUCGGUACGUACUGGUAUCAUUGGUCUCUCCUUUCUGACGAACCAUGAUGUCAUUAAUUUGGUGUUAUGGGGAGUUAGGACUGUUACUUUGAAAAAAUUGAGUGUUUAAAGCAAGCUAACGCUUGAAUACAUUAGCAUGGAAUAAUGAAAUAGGACGUUCGAUCCUAUUUUGUUGGUUUCUAGGAUUGACGUAAUGAUUAAUAGGGAUAGUUGGGGGCAUUAGUAUUCAAUUGUCAGAGGUGAAAUUCUUGGAUUUAUUGAAGACUAACUACUGCGAAAGCAUUUGCCAAGGAUGUUUCAUUAAUCAAGAACGUAAGUUAGGGAUCGAAGACGAUCAGAUACCGUCGUAGUCUUAACCAUAACUAUGCCGACUAGGGAUCGGAUGAUGUUAAUUUUUANGUACUCAUUCGGCUCUUUAAC